AUUGAACGCUGGCGGCAGGCCUAACACAUGCAAGUCGAGCGGAUGAAGGGAGCUUGCUCCUGGAUUCAGCGGCGGACGGGUGAGUAAUGCCUAGGAAUCUGCCUGGUAGUGGGGGAUAACGUCCGGAAACGGGCGCUAAUACCGCAUACGUCCUGAGGGAGAAAGUGGGGGAUCUUCGGACCUCACGCUAUCAGAUGGGCCUAGGUCGGAUUAGCUAGUUGGUGGGGUAAAGGCCUACCAAGGCGACGAUCCGUAACUGGUCUGAGAGGAUGAUCGGUCACACUGGAACUGAGACACGGUCCAGACUCCUACGGGAGGCAGCAGUGGGGAAUAUUGGACAAUGGGCGAAAGCCUGAUCCAGCCAUGCCGCGUGUGUGAAGAAGGUCUUCGGACUGUAAAGCACUUUAAGUUGGGAGGAAGGGCAGUAAGUUAAUACCUUGCUGUUUUGACGUUACCAACAGAAUAAGCACCGGCUAACUUCGUG
rnacentral:rRNA from 1 species